rnacentral:rRNA from 1 species
AUUGAACGCUGGCGGCAGGCCUAACACAUGCAAGUCGAACGAGUGGCGGACGGGUGAGUAAUGUCUUGGAAACUGCACGAUGGAGGGGUAUAACUACUGGAAACGGUAGCUAAUACCGCAUACCCUCGUAUGUGCCCAGAUGGGCUUAGCUAGUAGGUGGGGUAAUGGCUCAACUAGGCGACGAUCCCUAGCUGGUCUGAGAGGAUGACCAGCCACACUGGAACUGAGACACGGUCCAGACUCCUACGGGAGGCAGCAGUGGGGAAUAUUGCACAAUGGGCGCAAGCCUGAUGCAGCCAUGCCGCGUGUAUGAAGAAGGCCUUCGGGUUGUAAAGUACUUUCAGCGAGGAGGCGUUACUCGCAGAAGAAGCACCGGCUAACUCCGUGCCAGCCGCCGCGGUAAUAC